UACGAAGGGUGCGAGCGUUGUCCGGAAUUAUUGGGCGUAAAGAGCUCGUAGGCGGUCUGUCGCGUCGGUCGUGAAAACUUGGGGCUUAACCCUGAGCUUGCGGUCGAUACGGGCAUGACUGGAGUUCGGCAGGGGAGACUGGAAUUCCUGGUGUAGCGGUGAAAUGCGCAGAUAUCAGGAGGAACACCGGUGGCGAAGGCGGGUCUCUGGGCCGAUACUGACGCUGAGGAGCGAAAGCGUGGGGAGCGAACAGG
rnacentral:rRNA from 1 species